AGUGAACGCUGGCGGUAGGCCUAACACAUGCAAGUCGAACGGCAGCACAGUAAGAGCUUGCUCUUACGGGUGGCGAGUGGCGGACGGGUGAGGAAUACAUCGGAAUCUACUUUUUCGUGGGGGAUAACGUAGGGAAACUUACGCUAAUACCGCAUACGCCCUACGGGUGAAAGCAGGGGAUCUUCGGACCUUGCGCGAUUGAAUGAGCCGAUGUCGGAUUAGCUAGUUGGCGGGGUAAAGGCCCACCAAGGCGACGAUCCGUAGCUGGUCUGAGAGGAUGAUCAGCCACACUGGAACUGAGACACGGUCCAGACUACUACGGGAGGCAGCAGUGGGGAAUAUUGGACAAUGGGCGCAAGCCUGAUCCAGCCAUACCGCGUGGGUGAAGAAGGCCUUCGGGUUGUAAAGCCCUUUUGUUGGGAAAGAAAAGCAUCAGGUUAAUACCCCGCUGUUCCGACGGUACCCAAAGAAUAAGCACCGGCUAACUUCGUG
rnacentral:rRNA from 1 species